GGCCACCUACGGGGGGCUAUCACAUAGCCCCGGAUCAUGUCCGGGGCACUGCUAAACGGAAGACAGAAA
rnacentral:ncRNA from 1 species